ACUCCUUCCCAUCCCGAACAGGACAGUGAAACGACUCAGCGCCGAUGAUAGUGCGGGUUCCCGUGUGAAAGUAGGUCAUCGUCAGGC
rnacentral:rRNA from 1 species